GAAGAUGAAGAGAAACAUGAAACAUCAGAAGCUUUUAUAUGAAUCUCUUCUCUGAAUUUGAUGAUUUUAUGAAAUCAAAACCUUAAGGAGUACUGUAACGUACUGAUAGAGAAGAUGCUAUCCUCAAUCUCUUCUCCAUUAAUCAUCCCUGCCAGAAAAAAAAAAAACUAUAACGGAGCUCCUGUACUCUACCAGAUUAUCUCCAUUCGUUUACCUCCCUUAUACAGCUUAAAAGUCGACAAUGAUCAGCAUUAUCCUCAUAGACCAGUCGAGACUUGAUGAAGGGUAAAAGCAGGAACAAAAUUUAUUGGAACACAGGCACCACAUUUAUACCAUUUUGAAUGUGUAUUCACCCUCCAGGGGCAUUAAUCUGUGCAAGAAUCUGUCUAGAAUGCAUGCUAAUAAUUUGGGUAAAGUCUGGCCAAUGUUUAGGGAUGACUUGGAAAGAUGGUAUAGUUUAGAAAUCUAAUAGUUAGGAAGAAUAAAUUCGGUCAAAAUGAAUAUACUACCAAAAAUGUUGUACUUUAUUAAAGCCAUACCUCUCACUA